rnacentral:rRNA from 1 species
UACGAAGGGGGCUAGCGUUGCUCGGAAUUACUGGGCGUAAAGGGCGCGUAGGCGGAUAUCUAAGUUGGGGGUGAAAGCCCGGGGCUCAACCUCGGAAUUGCCUUCAAUACUGGAUAUCUUGAGUACGGGAGAGGUGAGUGGAACUCCGAGUGUAGAGGUGAAAUUCGUAGAUAUUCGGAAGAACACCAGUGGCGAAGGCGACUCACUGGCCCGUUACUGACGCUGAGGCACGAAAGCGUGGGGAUCAAACAGG